UAAUACGGAGGGUGCAAGCGUUAAUCGGAAUUACUGGGCGUAAAGCGCACGCAGGCGGUUUGUUAAGUCAGAUGUGAAAUCCCCGGGCUCAACCUGGGAACUGCAUUUGAAACUGGCAAGCUAGAGUCUCGUAGAGGGGGGUAGAAUUCCAGGUGUAGCGGUGAAAUGCGUAGAGAUCUGGAGGAAUACCGGUGGCGAAGGCGGCCCCCCGGACGAAGACUGACGCUCAGGUGCGAAAGCGUGGGGAGCAAACAGGAUUAGAUACCCUGGUAGUCCACGCUGUAAACGAUGUCGAUUUGGAGGUUGUGCCCUUGAGGCGUGGCUUCCGGAGCUAACGCGUUAAAUCGACCGCCUGGGGAGUACGGCCGCAAGGUU
rnacentral:rRNA from 1 species